CCUAAUGCUGUUGAAAUCGGUGCGAUGCGGGGAGCCAGGGACCAUGUGACGGCAUGCGUAUAUAUGCCCCACCCGAAUUUUCCGCGUGGUUGUUUCACGCACUCGAAGUUGGCGGGCACAGAGGGGCUCGAAAACCGUUACAACGUUCAAAACGGUGAUCAUGACAGAGCUAGACUCCAAGCCAAUGAAGUGAACUCUAUCACGAAUGCUAAUACUGGAGGAAUCAUGCUGGAACUUUGCAACCAAGUCCUUGCCACUCGCGGUUUGUCAUGAAUGUACUGUGCCCGUCAAACAAUAUUAUGCUCUACAAUUAGGCCUACGUCCCAGUGAAGUCUAGGGCCAGUUUUCUUGGGGCUUAAAUUUAAAUGAUUUCAACAUAAAUAACAUGUAGUUGAAAUGAAAUCUGUAAUGAGUAAUUAACCUUUAAACAAUGGAAUAAAUCUUCAUGAUAUUUAGCCUACAAGAAUAAAGAUGCCAAAAAAUGAAGUCUUCAAGUUGAUUAAAAUAAAUGAGAAAACAUUGAAGUAGCACAGUAAACCUAACCCAAACCUAAGGUCAAUGAUAAUGAAAAUAAAAUAAAACUUCAAAUGUUAUUCAUGAUGUUUAAACCUCAAGGAUGUAAAUACCUGGAACUAAGUCUUCAAAUUGACUUAAAAUAAACUAGAAAACACAAGUAGAACAGUAAACUUAACCCAAACCUAUUGGUCAGUGCUAAUAAAAGAAACCUAAAUUUCAAAUAAUAUUCAUGUUUAAACCUCAAGGAGCUGUCUAGAAAUAACUCUUCAAAUUAUUUUUAAAGACUAAAAAACAUAAGCAGAACAGUAAACCUAACCUAAAUUUAUUAAGGGCAAUGCUAUUGCAAGUGAAAUUAAACUUCAAAUAUUAUUAAGUGGCUUACUUGACAACAAAAGGAAUUAAUCUUAUGUUUUAACCUGGAGUGAAUAGAUGACUAAAACUAAAUCUUCAACACGGUUUAAUGUAAACUUGAAAACAGAAGCAGCAGAGUGUAUGUAACGAGCCUAAGGUCAAAACUAAUAAAAUUGAAAUUAAAACUUUAAAUAUUAAGCAACUUACUUUGGAGGGUAUAUCCAGUUUUGAAUACAAAUACAAAAAAAGUAUCAUCCAAGUGCGCCAAGUAUUUUGUUUUGUGCCAACUGUGCAAAUUUAAGUGUAGACCCUUGCAGCAUUUUUUGAGGUCAUUCCCCUGCACGCAACCAUUAACAGCUAACCAUGUUAAUCACAAACCAUUAACAGAACAGUGCAACCAUUAACAGUUAACCAUGUUAAUCACAAACCAUUAACAGAACAGUGCAACCAUUAACAGUUAACCAUGUUAAUCACAAACCAUUAACAGUAUGCACUUCAACCACUAACCAGCAAAGACCCAUCCGAGUGCUGCAAGAACUGGGAAAAUGUUAAACGCUUCUUGAGAAGUUAAGUUCACUUGCGCAAUUGAUUUGUUGCUCAAAGCUGGAUUGCUAUAAUAUUUUUCUUAAGUAGUGUAGUAUUUACAACAGUUAUGGAAAAGCAAAGUUAUUACAAGUAUAUUACUGUAAGCCCUAAUGAAAAAAGAAAUUAUUGCAAAAAUCUGCAUGAUUUAAUAAUAGCCAGAAAACAUUUUGAAAUCCAAUUGAACUCUGAUGGAAAUGAUUAAAAUGAUAAAACAAGAUCAGCCUAACAUAAGGACAUUAUCUAAAAAUGAGGAUAUUAAUUUAACACCAUAUUACUUAAUAUUAAAAAUAGUUGACACUGAACCCUUAAACAAAGAAUAAAGAGUAAUUCAGCAUAAAGCUAUAACCAUGAUUAAUUAAUGGUCUUAAAUUUUUGAAAUCGAUUCAAGUUGACCCUGGAUAAAAUUGGGACAAUGGUCAGUACAGAGCAAGACAUUUAAAAGAAUGUGAAAGUCUUAUAGAGAAACUCUGAAAAGUUGCCCCAGGAUAAACUUUUGACAAUGUGCAAGACAAACUAUGAAUCAUGAGAAUGACAUUGAGGAUGGGAACUAUCGAUGUCAGCCAGAUGGAUGGUGUGAUGAACAGAUAUGAUGUAAGCCACAGUGUGUGGAAGGAGGAAAAUCAUCAUCCAGUGAGAGAUUCAUCGCUAAGACAAACUCUGGACUUGGAAUUAGUUAUCAACGUGUCGGACAGGGACUAAAGAUCAACAUUAAAAGGCAGUACUGCAGCAACUUUUGGAAAAGGAUGGAGUUGACUUUAACACAACUGAUUUCAUGAGUGUUGCAUAUCUCCAGUGCAGACUCUGUGUAAGCUUUUUACCUUAAUUGAUCUUGGACACACAAUGGAAGGACACACCUACAUGUACCUUGAACUCCACGCUAUUUUGGAAGCUUGAUACUCUCCGGAUAAGCAUCUUUGGAAGGACCGACUUGGGGGAACAGUGACUUUCUGACGGCAGACGAGUGGAAAUCUGAUGACUCUCUGAUUCUGGGACCGAUGGAAUUCAACUUUUGACAAUGUGCAAGACAAACUAUGAAAUCGCGAGGAUGACAUUGUCAGAACAGUAACUACAUGUACAUGUAUACAAGAUAUCGAGGACAAAUUGAGAAACAGAUGUAUUAGCCACAGUGUGCUGAAGGAGGAAAAUUAUGCAGUGAGGGACUCAUCACAUAAAGGACAGUGAAUUCAUCAUCUGAAUGUCUGAUUUGGACUAAGGAUCAACAUUAAAGGCAACAUUGCAACAUUUUUUGGAACUGUUUUUGUGAGUGUUGCAUUUCUCCAGUGUGGACUCGGUGCAAACUGCUGCGUCACUCUACUAUAAUCUUGGAAGCACAAUUGGAGGACACGCAUUGCCAUUUUGAGGAGCUUGACACUUAGACGAUAAACUUCUUUGGAAGUACAGACAGACUUGAACUUUGAAGACUGACUUUCUGAUAUUGGACAAGUGGAAAUCUUGAUGACCUUCUGACCAGUGGAAUUCGCCAUCUUUACUACCAGUGGAGGCAUGUUUCAUCCUGGAAACUUGGGGGUCUGGAGGUACUCGUGAGACGUUAUCUGGCUGUGAUGAGCAUGACCAUGACGCCUGGAUUGCAGAAGUCUACUGAAGUUGGGAGGGCCAGACGAAGGACCAGACGUCUUGGGUAUAGAGGCCGGGGGACACGUUUGUAUGUUCAUAAGGUAAGGUAACCAUUGUAUGCAGGCUUGAACAUGCACAAGACCCCCGGAUGUCGCUGUACAGUUUGCAAGUGGAGUCGCUUGGAUUGUGUGGUAGGGUAGAACGAGGGGGACAAGGUUGCAUGUAAACCCAGGUGAGGUAACCAUUUCUCUGCAGCUCUUCUAGGCCACAUGCCUCAAGACUUGUCCCCCUUGUCUGGAUGUUGUUCUGUGGAUUCUGGAUGUUGUUCUGUGGAUUGUGCAGAGUGGUAUCCUGUUUUAACUGAUCUAACCAAGAUAUUCAUCUUGCUGUGGAUGGAGUAUAGAUGGCAGCAGUGUGUUGUCAAAGUUGGAGCCAGAAAGUGGGCACAGCAAACACACGAUAUCUGUUGCCGUAAUUGCGAGCAAGGACUAUCAGCGUUAAAGGUUGUAGACUACUGGCGCAAUGCAUUCAAUGCCACAUCACUGGAGCGGGAGCAAACGUGAUGACUCUACAACAGCCUUCUAUGUGACAACGUUCAGCCUCAUCAGCCAGAUCUGCCAGGCACAGAUCAGCAAGGACUAGGAUUCCGUACGUCAUAUCACCCACCUUGGCUCAAAUGGGAUGUAGACUACUGACACCAUUCAACGCCACAUCACUGGAGCGGGAGCAAACAUGAUGACUCUACAACAGCCUUCCUGCGACGAUGUUAGCCUCAUCAGUCAGAUCUACCAGGCACAGAUCAGCAAGGAUUGUGAUCCACUUAUAUUACCCACCUUGGCUCAAAGAGGUGGACUACACAGCAAUAACGAUCAGCAUCAGCAUCAGCCAGACUUCAGCAGAGACGAUGCUCCUCUUGAGUGGAUCCAGAAGGCAGACUGAUGGGGGCCUCAGCAGCUCAGCCCUGGCCAUGAAUUUCCAUCUUGGCCACCAACCAACGGGGAGACGUACCUGAAGUUGUUGAGCAUUUGGAUAAAUCUGGACGGCAUCAUGUACACACUAUGGAACUGAUCAUCGCACGUGGAAGGCACUAAUUUGGCCAGACGCCCCCCCCCCUUCCACCUUGACCACUUCAGCUUUAGCUUAUUAGGAUUUGGAGCCACAAAUUGGAUUGUUACACAUCUUUCAACUGGAUCGCGAAAUGAACCGAACUUAAAACCCGCGUAAUUUCUCGCGAUUCGACUCUACGGUUAAAUAAGAACUGUUCCAAGUUUUCCAUACUUCUGAACUGUUGCUGAUGUAGUGGAUGUCUUCGAUCGUUUGUCGUGCAAGAAGAAAGGGAUGCAAUGCCCAAACUGUUUAGACAUUUAUCUACAAAGAUCACGUGCGUUUGUGAACUCUGUACACUCGCGAGACCCUCUUCUAUGGAGAAACCAUUGUGCGUGCUUUGAACUUUUUCGCUUGAAGACUGAUGGAACUUUUCAUUGCCAGAACUUUCAUGCAGGGUGGUGGGAAUAAUUGAGACAGUUGAGUUUUGAAAUGUUUGAAAUUGGAAUUUUGUUAAGUUUUGGCUUGUUUUGGUUAAAAUGUUGAUAGUGUGCUGUUACGGCAUCCCUCUUUUUAUUCAGUGGUUCUCAUUUCCAUGAUGUUAACUCACAAUAAACUCUUUGCUUAAAAAAUGAGACAAUACACACUUUGCAUCAUUUUAUUGAGCUAUCUAUAGGACUGAUGGUUGGAAUUGGAAUUUUUCUUCAGGUUUUUAAUUUCUGCAAACCGACUUCAGAGGCAAAAAAAGAACAAUGAAAACCAUGGAAAUAAAAAGAGAUGCCCUUAUAUUAUUUUAAUGUUUGAUUUUGCGACUUGUAGAAAAAUAACGCAUUUCGAUAUUCGCAAUGCAUUUGAAGAUAGAUUUUCAUUAUCGGAACUUUCAUGAGUGGUGGUGGUGGAAAAUAUUGAGACAGCUGAGUUUUCAAAUGUUUGAUAUUAGAAUUCUUUUUAAGUCAUGACUUAUUUUGGUUAAAAUUUUGUUACUUUUGCUAUUAGGGCAUCCCUCUUUUGUGGUUCUCAUUUCUCACAAUAACUUGUGGCAUAAACUCGGCAUAACUUAACAGUCUGCAUAAUUUAACGUAGCCAUCUAAAGACAAAUCCGGCAGCAGGCAUUUUCUGCAAUGGCGCAAAGUUUGCACGAGUUGCGCUCAAGUGUGGCGCAUGCGCUUCAUCAGGCUCCUUCAACCAUUUGCUUGAGCUUAAAACCACUGCAGUAAAAGCUGCUUAUUCUGGUAGCCAGAUUUCAGUUUAUUGGUGGAUCAGAUUUUCUUCUGAUAAUUAUUUUUUGCAAACCAACCACUUCAGAGGCAAAAAACCACAAAAACCCAAAACCCCAAAACUGUGAGAACUAUAAACAAUAAGGGAAACCCUCAUAUGAUGUAUGUUACAUGUUAUGAUCUAUGCAA